GUUACUUGGCGCCGGAGUGCAGGCCUGCAGGCGAGGGACGUUGCCCCCAUUACCGAGCCAGGGCGAUCCAGGUCAGAGUUGCUCCCUCCUGAUUCCACUGAAGCCAUCGAAGGGGGUGACUUUGUUUCGGGUUGCAUUGCUGGUCCUUGAGCAUAGAUCGCCCCCCCCCGCCCCUCGCCAGGGCGGGAGGAGCCACCGUGAAACCCCCGGUAUGGCGUGUCUAGGAGGCGGAAGCACAUCCAAUGUGACGGAGAUGAUGGAACAGUGGUCAUGUCAGCCAUCAAAGUGAGCCCCACAGCCUAAUUAUUCUUCAGUACACAGAAAAUGAGUGAUUAAUCCAUAGCCUGGUGCAGAUAAUUCAGGGCAGUGGAGCACUGGUAUCCAUCAGUGGAUGCAGAAUCAACUUGCAGCAUGCACAGAUCCAGUGGAAGCUGAGUGGAUAUCAGGCAGAAAAGAGAAAAAGAAAGUGAGCAGCAUAUAUUUAACUGCUCAUUUGUUCCUGAAACAAUUAUGGAUUCCUUUGAACAAUGGAAAGUGCUCAGGCAAAGAUACGUUUCUCUAGAGAUUGCUCGUUCCGUUUUCCUGUAAAGCAUCUUUGACUCAAAGCAGUUUUUGGUACAGCUGUUCUAAUUCUGUCUACUGAAAUGCAACUUGCUCUUAUGUGAUGGUCUUUGGGAUGAAAUGGAAUCUGAGAUGAAGACAGACACUAAACACAGGUAGUCAGGUUUUACAUAGAACAGUUGAUAUCUUUUUGGUAACAAAAAUUGCCACUGUUCCCAGAAUUGUUUUGUAUUCACAAGAAGACACCUUCAAAAAAUAAUCAGAAAUCUUUGACUAGAUAAUAUUAAAUGUUGUAUGUUUUCUCAUUUACCUCAUUAUGUCAAUGGGGCUUGCA